AACUGAAUUUUCCUUUAUAUCAGCAUUAGGGUUUUAAACCCUAAACUGAACUUUUUCCAUUCAGCCAGCAUUAGGGUUUUAAACCCUAAACUGAGCUUUUCCAUGCAAUUAGCAUUAGAGUUUUAAACCCUAAACUGAAUUUUCCUUUUAGUCAGCAUUAGGGUUUUAAACCCUAGACUGAACUUUUUCCUUUCAGCGAGUAUUAGGGUUUUAAACCCUAAACUGAGCUUUUCCAUGCAAUCAGCAUUAGGGUUUUAAACCCUAAACUGAAUUUUCCUUUUAGUUAGCAUUAGGGUUUUAAACCCUAAACUGAACUUUUUUCAUUCAGCCAGCACUAGGGUUUUAAACCCUAAACUGAGCUUUUCCAUGCAAUCAGCAUUAGGGUUUUAAACCCUAAACUGAGCUUUUCCAUGUAAUCAGCAUUAGGGUUUUAAACCUUAAACUGAAUUUUCCUUUAUAUCAGCAUUAGGGUUUUAAACACUAAACUGAACUUUUUCCAUUCAGCCAGCAUUAGGGUUUUAAACCCUAAACUGAGCUUUUCCAUGCAAUCAGCAUUAGGGUUUUAAACCCUAAACUGAAUUUUCCUAUUAGUCAGCAUUAGGGUUUUAAACCUUAAACUGAACUUUUCCUUUUAGUCAGCAUUAGGGUUUUAAACCCUAAACUGACAUUUUCCUUUUAGUCAGCAUUAGGGUUUUAAACCCUAAACUGAGCUUUUCCAUGCUAUCAGCAUUAGGGUUUCAAACCCUAAACUGAAUUUCCCUUUUAGUCAGCAUUAGGUUUUUAAACCCUAAACUGAACUUUUUUCAUUCAGCCAGCACUAGGGUUUUAAACCCUAAACUGAGCUUUUCCAUGCAAUCAGCAUUAGGGUUUUAAACCCUAAACUGAACUUUCCUUUUAGUCAGCAUUAGGGUUUUAAACCCUAAACUGAGCUUUUUCCAUACUAUCAGCGUUAGGGUUUUAAACCCUAAACUGAGCUUUUCCAUGCAAUCAGCAUUAGGGUUUUAAACCCUAAAUUGAACUUUCCUUUUAGUCAGCAUUAGGGUUUUAAACCCUAAACUGAACUUUUCCAUGCUAUCAGCAUUAGGGUUUUAAACACUAAACUGAGCUUUUCCAUGCAAUCCGCAGUAGGGUUUUAAACCCUAAACUGAACUUUUCCAUUCAGCCAGCAUUAGGGUUUUAAACCCUAAACUGAGCUUUCCUUUUAGUCAGCAUUAGGGUUUUAAACCCUAAACUGAACUUUUUCCUUUCAGCCAGCAUUAGGGUUUUAAACCCUAAACUGAGCUUUUCUAUGCUAUCAGCAUUAGGGUUUUAAACCCUAAGCUGAACUUUUCAUUUUUAGUCAGCAUUAGGGUUUUAAAACCCUAAACUGAACUUUUCCAUGUAAUCAGCAUUAGGGUUUUAAACCCUAAACUGAAUUUUCCUUUUAGUCAGCAUUAGGGUUUUAAACCCUAAACUGAACUUUUCCAUUCAGCCAGCAUCAGGGUUUUAAACCCUAAACUGAGCUUUUCCAUGCAAUCAGCAGUAGGGUUUUAAACCCUAAACUGAACUUUUCCAAUCAGCUAGCAUUAGGGUUUUAAACCCUAA
rnacentral:lncRNA from 1 species